rnacentral:rRNA from 1 species
AUUGAACGCUGGCGGCAGGCCUAACACAUGCAAGUCGAGCGGAGCGGCGGACGGGUGAGUAAUACCUAGGAAUCUGCCUGGUAGUGGGGGAUAACGUUCGGAAACGGACGCUAAUACCGCAUACUAUCAGAUGAGCCUAGGUCGGAUUAGCUUGUUGGUGAGGUAAUGGCUCACCAAGGCUACGAUCCGUAACUGGUCUGAGAGGAUGAUCAGUCACACUGGAACUUGGACACGGUCCAGACUCCUACGGCAGUCAGCAGUGGGAAAUAUUGGGCAAUGGGCGAAAGCCUGAGCCAGCCAUGCCGCGUGUCUGAAGAAGGCCUUCGGGUUGUAAAGGACUUUUGUUAGGGAAGCGUUACCUAAAGAAUAAGCACCGGCUAACUACGUGCCAGCAGCCGCGGUAAUAC